UACGGAGGGAGCUAGCGUUGUUCGGAAUUACUGGGCGUAAAGCGCACGUAGGCGGCUUUGUAAGUUAGAGGUGAAAGCUCGGGGCUCAACUCCGGAACUGCCUUUAAGACUGCAUCGCUUGAAUCCAGGAGAGGUGAGUGGAAUUCCGAGCGUAGAGGUGAAAUUCGUAGAUAUUCGGAAGAACACCAGUGGCGAAGGCGGCUCACUGGACUGGUAUUGACGCUGAGGUGCGAAAGCGUGGGGAGCAAACAGG
rnacentral:rRNA from 1 species